GCUGUGAUGGCCGAGUGGUUAAGGUGUUGGAGUCGAAAUCCAGUAGGCGGGUUUGAAUCCUGCUCACAGCG